CAAGUAGGAUUUAGCUCAACUUGUAUGCUACAUCAGCUGGCUUAAUAGCACACCUUCCACUGGCUGCUUUCCAUGCCUUUUAUCAUGUCUCCACCUGUGUUAUCUGAACUGCUCAAGCAAUACUACUGACAAAUGAAUCCUGGUCUCGGGAUCGCUAAUGAGGAGAACCCAAAUGACAGCCUACCCAUUGCAAAGAGCCACCUGAGGUGAGCAUUUGCUGCAACACAGGGUGAAUUUUUACUUCUAUUGCCUUGAGGACAUUCAUUGGAAACAUCAUGUUGCACUUGAUGGAGACUCUCCUGAUGAAAAGGCAUCUUUAUGGUAAAAUAAUCUGGCAUAUAAGUAAAUCCCACCGGCUCACAACUUUGUAAGGUGCUGAAGAGGAUGAAGCUCCUUAUCCCUGGAAGAGCAGUGUGUUUUUUUACGGAAUGUCUAAAGCUUUAUGACCCAAGAAAACCUUUCUCAAGGACCCAGGAGCUACUUCUUGGAAAUGCAUUCUUCAAGCGAGACAGAACCCCACGUGUAUCUCCAGUUUCUUUGGGAAGGCUUAUGAUGAAAAAAUACAAUUGGCAUCACAAGACCUAUUUCAUUAUACCUCAUGGAUCCUGGAAUUUCCUUCUCCACUUCCUUCUUAAAUCCUGAAUGGAACUGUAAGAAGAAUAUAAGAAAACAAAAAGAACACAGAGGAGGCAUUGACUAUGCAAAUUUGCCAAUAAUUAGGGAUUCGUACUCACUUAUCAUUGGAGGAGUGAUAUUAUACCUCAUUUUAGCCUCGCAGAAACCCUUAGAGCUGGCUUCACUGAAAGUCAAAUCCAGUGACAACUCAGCCAGAAUAAAUGAGUAACGUGCUAAGUAAUGUUACACAGAUUCUUCUGUGAAAGGAAUUCAAGACAGCCUUGACAUCCAUCUAUCAAGCAUGACUUGGAACUAAAGAAGAUAACAACCCAGAAAAGCCAAUGAAUAAAAUAUCCCCAAUAAAAGUUG